rnacentral:lncRNA from 1 species
UUGUAGAACAUGCCGCCUGAUGGGUUACAUCAGGACCGCGUGCGCACCGGUAAUGAUCAUGGACAUAAGGUUAUUAUGGAUUUGUUUGCCCUGAUCGAGCAUUGCUCUCUGGGCUGAGUUCAGUUGAUUGCCGGAGUUAAGGUCCCUGAUCGAGCGAUGCUCUCUGGGCGCUGGCUUAUUUGGAAUUCAAGUGUUCAGGCUGGAGGUAAGGACCCUGAUCGAGCUUGCUCUCUGGGCGCCAGACCUGUUGGAUUAAGAGAGCCGAAAGGCUACUAGAAUUUGGGGUUUAGGGUUCUACCGAGCCACUCGUCCCGUAAAAGUAAAUAUAUAUUUUUAUUUAUUUAUUUAUUAUGGUAUUUGAUUAUAAUGUGAUUUGUAUUUACGUGCAUGGUUGAUAUUUUGAUUCGAAUGAUUAAUAUUUUAUGUGAAGGAAAUAGUAGGGUAUGAUUAUAGUAUGGUUUGAUAUACUGAUUUGAAUAAUCUAUGUUUUUCUGAGAAGAAGCAAUAGUCCCUAGAUUAUUUGAUUUUAACUCACUCUCGAGACUGACAGUCUCCAUUUAUGUUUUUUUCAGAUUCGUGACUGUUAGUUCUCCCGCGACUCUUAUUCAGUAACCCGACUCCUUCAUCAUCGGGUGAUGUAUUUGAUUUGGUAUGUAAAUUGGUAAAUCUUAGAUUCUCC